rnacentral:lncRNA from 1 species
CUAAGUCUAUGAAUCUGUAAUCACAGCAAAAUGAUUGAUGAAAAAAAAUUUUCAUAGGCAUCACAUCUAGACUUGAGCUAAUCGAAUCUAUCAUAUGACUGAUGUUGAGGUUUGACGAUUUAUCCCUGACCUGCCAUCUAGUCAGAACUCAUGAUAAAGAGACUGAAUCACACGUUAAUUACACCUAGAGGUUCAUUUCAGUUCUAUUAGGUUGUCACUACAUAUUGCUAGGUGUCAC